UGGGGAAUUUUGGACAAUGGGCGAAAGCCUGAUCCAGCAAUGCCGCGUGUGUGAAGAAGGCCUUCGGGUUGUAAAGCACUUUUGUCCGGAAAGAAAUCCUUGGCUCUAAUACAGUCGGGGGAUGACGGUACCGGAAGAAUAAGCACCGGCUAACUACGUGCCAGCAGCCGCGGUAAUACGUAGGGUGCAAGCGUUAAUCGGAAUUACUGGGCGUAAAGCGUGCGCAGGCGGUUUGCUAAGACCGAUGUGAAAUCCCCGGGCUCAACCUGGGAACUGCAUUGGUGACUGGCAGGCUAGAGUAUGGCAGAGGGGGGUAGAAUUCCACGUGUAGCAGUGAAAUGCGUAGAGAUGUGGAGGAAUACCGAUGGCGAAGGCAGCCCCCUGGGCCAAUACUGACGCUCAUGCACGAAAGCGUGGGGAGCAAAACAGGAUUAGAUACCCCUGGGUAGUCCACGCCCUAAACGAUGUCAACUAGUUGUUGGGGAUUCAUUUCCUUAGUAACGUAGCUAACGCGUGAAGUUGACCGCCUGGGGAGUACGGUCGCAAGAUUAAAACUCAAAGGAAUUGACGGGGUCAUAGCUGUUUCC
rnacentral:rRNA from 1 species